AUGGCGCCGCACGACGACGAGGUCCCCGUCCCCUACGUCGAGGCUGCCGACGAGGACGAGCAAAGCUUCACGUGCGGCGUGCUGUGCAUGUUCAUCCCGGGCUUCGCAAAGAAGAAGCCGGGGUCGCCCUCCGCGGCGGCCGUCGUGUCGAGCAUACAGAGGCAGCAUUCCGGGGCGAGGCGGCGGAGCAGCGUGUCGCGGAUGGCGGAGCUGGAGAGGUUCGAGUGCGGGUCGUGGAGCCCGCCACCGCCGCCGCAUCCGGUGAGUGUUGUGCCGACGCACGUCGACAUGGACUUCGCGAUGGAGGUGCCCAAGAUCAGCUGCGCGGACGACACGGACUUGCCGGUCAAGAUGGCGUUCGUGUUCGAGGGCGAGGCGAGGGGGGCACUGAAGAAGUCGGCGUCGGAUUCGCGCCGGCAUGAGCCGGCGUCGCCGGCCAAGACGGCGUCCGCGUUCGACGGCGAGCCGAGGGGGAUCCUGAAGAAGUCGGCGUCGGCGUCGCAGCGGCAGGAGUCGGCCCCCAGGACGUCGUCCGCGUCGCAGCGGCACGUGAGGUUCUCGACGGCCGCGGCGCCUCCGGCGUCGUGCCCGACGUCGCCGUGCAUCACGCCGCGGCUGGCGAUGGCCAGGGCCGAGUUCAACGCCUUCUUGGAGGCGCAGAGCGCGUAG
rnacentral:rRNA from 1 species